GCCCCGGUAGUGUAGCGGCCUAUCAUCCAGGCCUGUCGAGCCUGGGACCCGGGUUCAAAUCCCGACCGGGGCGCCA
rnacentral:tRNA from 1 species